rnacentral:rRNA from 1 species
AUUGAACGCUGGCGGCAGGCCUAACACAUGCAAGUCGAGCGAGCGGCGGACGGGUGAGCAAUGUAUGGGGAUCUGCCCGAUAGAGGGGGCUAAGUACUGGAAACGAUGGCUAAUACCGCAUACUAUAGGAUGGAUCCAUAUGGGAUUAGCUAGUAGGUGGGGUAAAGGCUCACCUAGGCGACGAUCUCUAGCUGGUCUGAGAGGAUGAUCAGCCACACUGGGACUGAGACACGGCCCAGACUCCUACGGGAGGCAGCAGUGGGGAAUAUUGGACAAUGGGCGAAAGCCUGAUGCAGCCAUGCCGCGUGUAUGAAGAAGGCCUUAGGGUUGUAAAGUACUUUCAGCGGGGAGGCGUUACCCGCAGAAUAAGCACCGGCUAACUCCGUGCAAGCAGCCGCGGUAAUUC